AGCCCAAAACUUCGUCAUAAUUUGCUAGGGUUUCUUGUGGGCUAUAAAUUGUUGUAACCUUCACAAAUCCUUUCGUUUUAAUCCUCUGUUACCUCUCAGCAGCUUAGGCUAGGGUUCAGAAACGAAAAAGGGUUCGGUGUUCAGUUCGCGAUGAGAGCCAAGUGGAAGAAGAAGCGUAUGAGGAGGUUGAAGAGGAAGCGCCGAAAGAUGAGACAGAGAUCCAAGUAGUGCGUUAAUCCAAGUAGUUGAUUUCCGUUGCUUUUAUAAUUAUGUUGUCAAAUUGGGCACCCAGUUGUUAGAGGCACUGGUUUCUCCUUUUUGAUGUUUUGAUACAUUUUUGUUUGGUUUAAUUCGUCUUAUGUUAUUAGCUGAAAACAAUGCUGUUACUGCGUUUGCGAAUCAACAUGAUCUCUUAUAUGCAUUUCUGAUUCUCUCUUU